rnacentral:lncRNA from 1 species
UCUCUCUCUCUCUCUCUCUCUCUCUCUCUCUCUCAAAAACAAACAUGCCCGACUCAGAACUCAGUGAGAUUUUUAAGUGUGCUUCCGGAACAUGAUAUAACACGUGUUAUUAUAUAAAUUGUGGGUUACUUGUGUGAAAAAGUAGCACAAUUUGAAAAAUAAAACCUCAUUCUACUUAUAUAACAACAUGUGAUGUACGUUCCGAACACAAUUAAAAAUUUCUGGAUAAACAGUUUACUCGUUGUGUGUUUGAACGAGUUCCAUCUCAUGCAAUAUAUAGAAAUAUUAAGAGCAAAAUAAAGAAAAAGUUGAGAAAAUAAUUAGCCAAUUAGGUGCUAAAUUAGUCGAAUAACUUGACUAAGCAAAAGCAACGUACAUAUUAGGCUCCUUUUGUUGUGAAAGGUUGAGAAGGAUAGGAUCAAAGUUGUUCAGUCUUUGUCAUACCAAUCACAUUAAAGAGAAAAAACAAGAAAGGUCUACGUCCACGUACCAUCCAGUCGAUGAGUGAAGAAAUAUUAAAAAAAAAAGUCAUUGUUUUUCACUUAUAUUAUGAUAUGUGAUGUACUGCUUGAAAAAAUCUCUACUUAAUGAGUGCUAGUAGCACAAUUUGAAAAAUAAAACCUCAUUCUACUUAUAUAACAACAUGUGAUGUACGUUCCGAACACAAUUAAAAAUUUCUGGAUAAAC